CCACGUGGGCCGCGCGGAGAACGCGCCAGGCUCAUCACCUGGAUCAUCGUGCCUCAGUUUCCCCCUCGGCAAAUGGGGCUUCAGCGGCUCGCGACGCACAUUGAUGGAGCGUAUGUCCAGGCGCCGGUGCACCGCAAGGAGCAAAACAGACACAGUUCUUGGUCCUAGGGCUCACGUCCCGGGGCGAAGAGGAUCCUCCAUAAACGAUCAGGCAUAGCAGCUGUGAUUGGACAAGAGACUGAUUUCAGUGACUUUCUCCUAAUAAGAGACCACCGACCAGCUGACCAUGCCGACCAGCUGACCCGUUAAUAGAGAGAGAUGAUGCACCUGCAUGCCUUUGUGUCCUGAAAAGACGUUUUGCCAUAAAGGCCCUAAUUGUAAGAUGUGUAAAUGUUAAGUCUCCACCCCAAAGUGAACAUGGGUCAUAUAUUACAUGCUUUGCUCAAUAAGAGGGCAUGUGUCAGGACCACCUUCAUGAAUAUUCAUAGCUCCUCCUGUUACCUGUUGAAUAUGUAUGUUUAGCCAAUCCCUUCAGCAUAGCGCUCCUGCCCCAACCCCUCCUCCUUGGACGUGCCUGUCUCUGGCCUUGGCUGGAGACAGAUUCCCAGCCUCAGACAGAUGGCCGCCACCUUGCAGGCUACGACCGUUUACAAGAAAUAAAGCCUUCUCUUUUUCCAAAU
rnacentral:lncRNA from 10 species